rnacentral:rRNA from 1 species
GCACACUUUGGACGGUCGACCGGCGCACGGGUGAGUAAACGCGUAUCCAACCUGCCCUUUACUUGGGGAUAACCCGUUGAAAGACGGACUAAUACCCAAUGAUAUUCAUUGAUGACAUCUGAUUUGAAUUAAAGAUUUAUCGGUAUAGGAUGGGGGAUGCGUCUGAUUAGCUUGUUGGUGAGGUAACGGCUCACCCAAGGCCACGAUCAGUAGGGGUUCUGAGAGGAAGGUCCCCCACAUUGGAACUGAGACACGGUCCAAACUCCUACGGGAGGCAGCAGUGAGGAAUAUUGGUCAAUGGACGAGAGUCUGAACCAGCCAAGUAGCGUGCAGGAUGACGGCCCUAUGGGUUGUAAACUGCUUUUGUUUGGGAAUAAUCGACAUUACGUGUAAUGUUUUGCAUGUACCAUUCGAAUAAGGACCGGCUAAUUCCGUGCCAGCAGCCGCGGUAAU